rnacentral:rRNA from 1 species
UACGGGGGGGGCAAGCGUUGUUCGGACUUACUGGGCGUAAAGGGCUCGUAGGCGGCCAACUAAGUCGGACGUGAAAUCCCCAGGCUCAACCUGGGAACUGCGUCCGAUACUGGAUGGCUUGAAUCCGGGAGAGGGAUGCAGAAUUCCAGGUGUAGCGGUGAAAUGCGUAGAUAUCUGGAGGAAUACCGGUGGCGAAGGCGGCAUCCUGGACCGGCAUUGACGCUGAGGAGCGAAAGCCAGGGGAGCAAACGGG